AUGGCGCGGUUUGCUGCGCUCGCCGCGCUUCUGCUCGCCGUGGCGGUGGGCGGCGCCGCGGCGCAGGGCGUGGGCUCCGUCAUCACGCAGUCCAUGUACGCGAGCAUGCUGCCCAACCGCGACAACUCGCUGUGCCCGGCCAGGGGGUUCUACACGUACGACGCCUUCAUCGCCGCCGCCAACACCUUCCCGGGCUUCGGCACCACCGGCAGCGCCGACGAUGUCAAGCGCGAGCUCGCCGCCUUCUUCGGCCAGACCUCACACGAGACCACCGGCGGGACGAGAGGCGCCGCCGACCAGUUCCAGUGGGGCUACUGCUUCAAGGAGGAGAUAAACAAGGCCACGUCCCCACCCUACUAUGGACGGGGACCCAUCCAAUUGACAGGGCAGUCCAACUACGAUCUCGCCGGGAGAGCCAUCGGGAAGGACCUGGUGAGCAACCCGGACCUGGUCUCUACGGACGCGGUGGUGUCGUUCAGGACGGCGAUGUGGUUCUGGAUGACGGCGCAGGGCAACAAGCCGUCAAGCCACGACGUCGCCCUAGGCCGCUGGACGCCGACGGCCGCCGACACCGCUGCCGGUCGGGUGCCCGGAUACGGCGUGAUCACUAAUAUCAUCAACGGCGGGCUCGAGUGUGGCAUUGGCCAGAACGAUGCCAACGUCGAUCGCAUCGGCUACUACAUGCGCUACUGCAGCAUACUCGGCACGGCCACCGGGGGCAACCUCGACUGCUACACCCAGCGAAACUUCGCUAGUUAG
rnacentral:rRNA from 1 species